UACGGGGGGGGCAAGCGUUGUUCGGAAUUACUGGGCGUAAAGGGCUUGUAGGUGGCCAACUAAGUCAGACGUGAAAUCCCUCGGCUUAACCGGGGAACUGCGUCUGAUACUGGAUGGCUUGAGUGUGGGAGAGGGAUGCGGAAUUCCAGGUGUAGCGGUGAAAUGCGUAGAUAUCAUUGGAACGCCAAUGGUGAAAACAGGUUGCUGGGAGUGUGCUGACGCUGAGACACGAAAGCCAGGGGAGCGAACGGG
rnacentral:rRNA from 1 species